GUUUAAUCGGGCCGCGGCGUCUUCCUCAUUCAGAGGUGUGGGGAAGCCGAUCGACAGCUGUGGAACAACUUACUGGCUGUAGGGAAGCCGUCGCUGCCAUCAGGGUAUGUUUGUAUAGAGGAACUGGCCAGGUUCUCUCUCUCUGUUUGGAGAUGAAUGAUGGCGAGCUGAAUUACUACGGCUGGGAGCCUACCAUCUGCGCAGCAUCCACUGAAUAGCCGCUCUACUGGUCUGGUAGGAAGGUUGUCUGUAGCUUGCCCCCACACACUUCUCCAUAGACCAGCGCUUCAGUCCCACAUGCACAUUCUUC